GAUGAACGCUGGCGGCGUGCCUAAUACAUGUAAGUCGAACGGGCAAGUAGCAAUAUUUGUUAGUGGCGAACGGGUGAGUAGCGCGUGGGUGACCUGCCCCGAAGCUGGGGAUAACAGCUCGAAAGGGCUGCUAAUACCCGAUGUGUUCACGGGAGCUAGAGAGCCGUGAAUAAAGGAGCGAUCCACUUUGGGAGGGACCUGCGACCCAUCAGCUAGUUGGUAAGGUAACGGCCUACCAAGGCGACGACGGGUAGGGGGCCUGAGAGGGUGGCCCCCCACACUGGCACUGAAACACGGGCCAGACACCUACGGGAGGCUG
rnacentral:rRNA from 1 species